AACGAACGCUGGCGGCGUGUCUUAAGCAUGCAAGUCGAGCGGCAAGGCGGGGCAACCCGCCCUAGAGCGGCGGACUGGUGAGUAACACGUGGGUGAUCUACCCUUGGUUUGGGGAUAGCUCGUGGAAACACGGGGUAAUACCGAAUACGUCGGCAUGGCUACGGCCAUGUCGGGAAAGGCGCUAAGGCGCCGACCGAGGAUGAGCCCGCGCCCCAUUAGCUAGUUGGUGAGGUAAUGGCCCACCAAGGCUAUGAUGGGUAGCCGGCCUGAGAGGGUGUACGGCCACACUGGGACUGAGAUACGGCCCAGACUCCUACGGGAGGCAGCAGCUAAGAAUAUUCCGCAAUGGACGAAAGUCUGGCGGAGCGACGCCGCGUGGAUGAAGAAGGCCGAAAGGUUGUAAAAUUCUUUUGUCGGGGAAGAAUAAGCGUGGGAGGGAAUGCCCGCGUGAUGACGGUACCGGAAUAAGAAGCACCGGCUAACUACGUG
rnacentral:rRNA from 1 species